rnacentral:rRNA from 1 species
GAUGAACGCUGGCGGCGUGCCUAAUACAUGCAAGUCGAGCGAACAGACGAGGAGCUUGCUCCUCUGACGUUAGCGGCGGACGGGUGAGUAACACGUGGAUAACCUACCUAUAAGACUGGGAUAACUUCGGGAAACCGGAGCUAAUACCGGAUAAUAUAUUGAACCGCAUGGUUCAAUAGUGAAAGACGGUUUUGCUGUCACUUAUAGAUGGAUCCGCGCCGCAUUAGCUAGUUGGUAAGGUAACGGCUUACCAAGGCAACGAUGCGUAGCCGACCUGAGAGGGGGAUCGGCCACACUGGAACUGAGACACGGUCCAGACUCCAAGGGGGGGCAGCAGUAGGGAAUCUUCCGCAAUGGGCGAAAGCCUGACGGGGAAACGCCGGGGGAGUGAUGAAGGUCUGCGGAUCGUAAAACUCUGUUAUUAGGGAAGAAAAAAUGUGUAAGUAACUAUGCACGUCUUGACGGUACCUAAUCAAAAAGCCACGGCUAACUACGU